UAUGUGAUCGUCUCUCGCAUAUCAAUAAGCGGAGGAAAAGAAACUAACAAGGAUUCCCCUAGUAACGGCGAGUGAGGCGGGAAGAGCUCAAAUUUGAAAUCUUAAAGGGUUUCCCUUUACGAAUUGUAGUUUAAAGAAGUGUUUUCUGUUGAGGUUCUGGUAAAAGUUCUUUGGAAUAGGACAUCAUAGAGGGUGAGGAUCCCGUAUUUGACCUUUACUUUCAACUUUGUGAUACACUUUCAAAGAGUCGGAUUGUUUGGGAAUGCAGUCCAAAAUGGGUGGUAAAUUUCAUCUAAAGCUAAAUAUUGGCGAGAGACCGAUAGCGAACAAGUACCGUGAGGGAAAGAUGAAAAGAACUUCGGAAAGAGAGUUAAACAGUACGUGAAAUUGUCAAAAGGGAAGCGUUUGACACCAGUGUUGUUUUUCUGAAAAUCAAUUAAAGAACUGUUUAUGCUAAGUUGUUUAGACUUUAUCAGCUAACUGUUUAGUUUUGAGCUUUUCUUUAAUGCACUUUUCAGUUAACAAGUCAACAUCAAUUUCUUUUGCUGUAAAAAAGCUUGAGGAAGGUGGCUUGAGAUUCGUCUUAAGUGUUUAUAGCCUCUUGCCUAUGCAGUCGGAGAGAUUGAGGUCUGCAGCGUAGAUCCUUCGGGGCUAAAUGCAUUUGUGCUAAGUUAUAGCAUUUUAUAGACAGCUUGUUGACUAUGAUUUGUCUUGUAGCUUACUCGCUUAUGUUAUUUUACCUACGCUUAGGAUGUUGAUCUACAGAGCGAGAGU
rnacentral:rRNA from 1 species